AUUGUGCCGAUAUGAAGAGGAGGACAGACGAGGACCGAACCUCCAGAAGGGAAAAUUGGAAGAAGGCCAUCCAGAACGGGACCAUCCAGUUCCUCUGAGCCGAGUUCCUGCAUCUCGCCAGAUCUUUCCAUGCCCUCUGCAAACCAAACUCAGAGUGCCAAUAAAAAUAUUCUACGAUUCA